CCUCCACGCUCUAGGUUUCCUUGUGGGCAGCAUCCAGGUGGGUGUCACGUCCGUGCCCCGUGAGUUGGCGAACGUCACCGUACUUCUGACCCGACCCCUGCAGGCAGCAGCAGCAGCAGCCGCGGGAUGGGGUGGGUGUCGCCUCGCGGGUGCCACGCUCUCCCCCCCGCGACUGGCAGGUGGCCGUACCACGGAGGGGAAGCCCCUGGGGUUCGAGGCCCAGCAUCCUGGAAACCCCGAGGGAAGAAGGAGGGCCCGGGAGGACCUGAUCGUUAUUCCCGAGUUGCUCAAGAGCUGCGGAGGCCGGGCCGGCUGGGACGGCCCCGGGCAUCCCCGCCCUCCCGCGCCGACCCCCGCCGAGUCUGAACCAAAAGCGAAAGGAGUCCGGCGCCGCGAGGAGGUCGCCGCGCGCCUCCAAGCCCGCGGGGGCCGCCGUUUUGUGACUUCACCGGUUUCGCAACAAGCCCGGGCCAACCGCGCCCCACCCACCCCCGGCCGGCCGCCUCGCCGCCCGACGCCUCGCUGGGCUCUCCGCGCCUUCCUCCGUCCGAGGCCGGGCCUGCCCCGCCGUCGCGGAGCCUCCCGUCCGGCCGCCGCCUGCGGGCCAGCACGUGCGCGACUCCCGCGCCCCGCGUCCCGCGCCGCGCCCCGCUGGGCGCAGCGCCCUCCCGGCGGCGGCGCGAUGCUGUGCUUCCUGAGGGGAAUGGCCUUCGUGCCCUUUCUUCUGGUGACCUGGUCGUCCGCCGCCUUCAUCAUCUCCUACGUGGUCGCGGUGCUCUCGGGGCACGUCAACCCCUUCCUACCCUACAUCAGUGAUACAGGAACAACACCUCCAGAAAGUGGUAUUUUUGGAUUUAUGAUAAACUUCUCUGCAUUUCUUGGUGCAGCCACAAUGUACACAAGAUACAAAAUAGUAGAGAAGCAAAAUCAAACCAGCUAUUUCAGCACGCCUGUUUUUAACCUGGUGUCGCUAGUUCUUGGAUUGGUGGGAUGUAUCGGAAUGGGCAUUGUAGCCAAUUUCCAGGAGUUAGCUGUCCCCCUGGUCCAUGACGGCGGUGCCCUUUUGGCUUUUGUCUGUGGUGUGGUCUACACACUCCUGCAGUCCGUCAUCUCUUACAAAUCGUGUCCCCAGUGGAACAGCCUCUCCACGUGCCACGUGCGGAUGGCCAUCUCUGCCGUUUCCUGCGCAGCUGUGGUCCCCAUGAUCGCCUGUGCUUCACUAAUUUCUAUAACCAAGCUGGAAUGGAAUCCAAAAGAAAAGGAUUAUAUAUAUCACGUAGUGAGUGCAAUCUGUGAAUGGACAGUGGCCUUUGGUUUUAUUUUCUACUUCCUAACAUUCAUCCAUGAUUUCCAGAGUGUCACCCUAAGGAUAUCCACAGAAAUCAAUGAUGAUAUUUGAAGAAAGAAGAAUUAUAUGUCACUCAGUGAAAGUCGCAGGCAAUUUCUGGAAGUGGUACAGAGGAGGAUCUUAAUGCUGCCCUGUGUGGAACGCAUCUGCAGUACAUCCGGGACGUGAAUUUCAUUAAGAAUUCCCAAUAGUUGUACUAUUUCCAAAGGUCAUUUACUGUGCCUCCCAUGAGAAGAUUUUAGGUCCCUACCUCAUUGGAUUUGGAUUUAGCCAUGUGAUGUGCUUUGGCCAAUUAAAUGUGAGUAAACUUGGCAUUCACCAUGUUGGAGCAGAAGGUUUAAGAUUCAUCUUGAGUUUUGGCCAGUUCUCUUGCUCUUUCCCAGAUAUGUCCCAUGUAGGGACUGCUCUUUUGGCCUGGGUCCUGAAGUGAGAAGACAGCAGAGUCUAGGGUGUGAGGUAAUAAAAAUAUGUAUAUAUGGAUCCCUGCUCCUGGUUCUUGGCAAAGAGCACCUAAAAUCUUAUAAUUCCCUAAGUGAUUGAAGCACUGGCAGCACCUUUUGUUUCAAUAUUUGGUCUUUGAUCCCCAUUCCUGACAUUGAACUCCUAAAUGCCUUGGAAUUUCCUAAGUGAUAGCAGUGUCUUUGUUCUAUGAGGUAACUCUUGGUGGGGGGGCUGGUCACCAGAAAGACCGAGCCAUGGUUAGAAGCUUGGAAGAGGGGAGAAGGGCUAGAAAUGAGUUAAUGAUUGAUCAUACCCAGAUGAUGAGGCCUCCAUAAAAAAUCUCAAAAGUAUGGGGGUACAGAGAGCUUCUGGAUCAGAGAACACUUGGGGCACUGGGAGAGUGGCAUGCUCAGAGAGAGCAUGGAGGUUCUGUGCUCCUCCCCAUGCCCUUAUCCAUUCAUCUGCAUCCUUUAUCACAUCCUUUUAUAAUAAACUGAUAAACAGGAAGGACACGGUUUCCUGAGUUCUGUGAACCACUCUAGCAAAUUAAUUCUGAGGAGCGGGUGGUGGGAACCUCUGACCUAUACCUGAUCGGUCAGGAGCCCAGGUGAGAACUUGGACUUGUACUGGCAUCUGUGGCGGUGGCAGAAGUGGUCUUGUGGGACCGAGCCUUCACCUGUGGGAUCUGAUGCUGUCUCUAGGACGAUAGUGUCAGAAUUGAGUUGCAUUGUAGGACACCCAGCUGGUGCCACAGAAUUGCUUGGUGCAGGAAGCGCCCCCACAUCUGGUAGCACAAGUGAGUGUGGUGGUGAGGAUAAAGGGAGACACACAGCAGGAAGGGCGAGUUUUUCCUACUCACACAGCCUGGCGAAAAUCUUAGCCAAUCUCAGGCUCCAGACAGCAUGAAGAAGAAAUAAACCAUUGUCUUGUCAGUUGCUGAGAUUUGGGGGGUUUGUUAACACAGCAAACCUAGAAAAAUUCCUUUUUUACUUUAAAAGACAUACUAAAAAAUAUGGCCAUCAGUUACUCGUAAGUCACCAAAUUCCAAGUCCGACCUGUACACCAUACUGCUUUCUUCUUUAUCCCACGCCAUUCUCUCUUUUGCCUCCCCUUUCAGUUACAGGGUAGACUUCUACAAAGACACAUUGUCCUGAAACAAAAAGAUCCAAAUCUGCCCCAGUCCUCUUAUAAAGGCACAUUCCCAUUUGCUGGGGAUGUACCAGGGUUGCCACACUUUUGAGCCCAAGGACAGGUGAGAAAGUAGCUCAUCUUUUCUUUAGUAAUAUUUUAGCUUUGGCAGAGAGUAUGGCAUGAUUCAGAAAGUCACCAACCAGCACAGAAUUGUCAUUCCAUAUUAAAAUAGGAGUGUUUCAUCCAAAACCUGACUGGGGGUAUUCAUAAACCACAUGUAGAGGGGUUGAUCAUUUACACACAAUAUACUCAUUUCUUCAAAGAAAAUGUGGUUUUCUUAUUUUUCUAGAAAACUACCUAAGCUGCCUUAUGAGCCCCAUCCUGCUGAGUAAUAAGGACACUUAGAUUUAAGUACCUCAGUGUCUGUUCCCUGUCUUUUCCUCCAGAAUGCUUAUUAAGUACACAGAUUUGCUUAUUGUAUGGCUGUGGUGGUGAGCAGGUGGGAACUCAGAUCCCCGCUAUUCCUUGGAUCUUCACUGUCUUCGAAGAAAUUAUUUCCUGGUGUACCUGGUUAUGCCUUGCUUUGCUGCUACCUUCUGUGGACAUCUGGGGCUAGAAUACUCCAGGUCUGCUGUUUCUCACCUGAGUCAGGGCCUGGAGUCCUGGUUAACUUGCCUCAUCUCAGUUUUCUGGGGUUGCCUAUUCCUUUGAAGUGUAGACGGGAUUUCCAUUUGAGUUCCAGCUCAGGUGAUCUGCCCUACAGGCCCCACUUUGGUAACUCUCCACUGAGUUUGCCAGCAACACCAUCAACUACCUUCUGUGCCCUUCACUGGGUCCUUAAAGGACUCCUGGGUAAUCUGCAUGCUAGAUGGGAGCUGAAGUUGCCUCACCUCAUGUGGCAGCCCAGGCUGGUAGAGGGGGGCACUCUGUUUCAUUCCAAUUGCUACCCUUGUGCAGAAGAGGAAAGAUACAAGCUAGACUUCCUGCCCUUGGCCUUGGGUGAAGGUCAUGAAAGGAAGUGGGCCACAGCCCAAAAAUUGGAAAUGAGGGCUCUGUGGGCUCAAACCGGAACAAGAUUCUCUCCUGCUUCUCUGAGAGCCAUGCUUGGGCCAUGUUUGGGAGCAUAUUUCCCAUCUGUUUUUCAUUUCCCCAGCAUAGAAUGUGGGAGGCCAGGAUCACAAAACAUUCCCUUCUCAUUCCCCAGAUGCCUCUGAACUCUCUUCCUUGAAUUUUUUGUUCCAAUCCAUGCUGAAUUACUUGAAUGGCUCCCAGCACACACCAUGCUCUUUAAUCCUUCUGAGCCUAUGCCUAUGCUGUUUUCUCUGCCCAGAUUGCCCCUCUAACACUCAUUUCUCUUGAAAACUUCUACUUCUCCCCAAGACACUGCCCAGGAUUCUUCCUCCAACAUGCUCACUUCCCUCUUGGAAGUUUGUACCACGAACUUCACUAAAGAGAUAUUUUGGUGUCUGUCUUCAUCAUGAGAGCUUAAGGCACUGAGGCUCAGGGAUCCCAGUUGGGACAUCUUUGUUGUCCUGAUGGCUGGCACAGAAAAUGUGUUCAAUGAAUGUUGGUUUAAAAAAUUAAAUCUUGAUAAAUCUUGGUAAAGGGUGAAAAGUAUAUCUUUCAGCAUGUGAAUCUGCAAUUAUCUCAAGGUAAAAAGAUUUGGUUAAAAACACCUUAAUGAGAAACACCAAUUAUUCUUUAAAUCUCCCUGGCUACCCACUGGGAGAGGACCCGAGUUUAAAAAUCCAAGGUCUUUAUGAAGUUGUCAUUUCCAAAUGGGGGAUGGAUAGCUCAAGCUCUUAGUAGUCAGGUGUCCUGUACCCCACUUGCCCUCAGAACAAUCAAGCCCUGAAUGGCUUUGAGGGAAGGUGAGACACCAGCCAGCACAUACAAAUUAUAACAAUUAUAAAAAGGAGCUCUCUCAGGCAGAGGAAUUGGGAAAAAUCGACUCCUUUUGGCUUCCUUCCUCCAGGAAGCUAAGAGAGGUGUAUAAACAAGCUAAGAGAGGUGUAUAAACCCAAGUUAAGUAUCCCCUCCCUGCUCCAGCCCUGCACUUGUGUGUAAAGCCUAACCUGAACAAAGCAGCUCCAGCCUGAAUAUUUCCCUAGGUUUGCCAUCUUACUUCAAAGGGCCAAUGGUUGUGUUUCCAGGCACUUGGACUGCUUGCUCGUGUUGAAACAUUACUUGUGGGUAUAAAUAUAUUGUGGGU